rnacentral:rRNA from 1 species
GAACGCAUACUAUAAAGUAUGAGUGGCAAACGGGUGAGUAACGCGUGAGACAUCUACCUUACAGCCCAGUAUAAAUCUCUGUAUAGAGUGUAUUCUUUAUGUAUGAAUGAAUUCUGGAUAUCUUUAUAUAUGUAUAUAAAAAAAGGCAAAGAACCGUUGUAAGAUGAGCUCGCGUAGGAUUAGGUAGUUGGUAAGGUAAAUGCUUAUCCAAGCCGAUGAUCCUUAGUUGGUCUGAGAGGAUGAUCAGCCACACUGGGACUGAGACACGGCCCAGACGCUUUCGAGCGGCAGCAGUGAGGAAUUUUGGGCAAUGGGCGAAAGCCUGAUCCAGCUAUAUCGCAUGAAUGAAGAAGGCUCAAUUGGUUGUAAAAUUCAUACUUUCAUUAUAGAUUAUGACGUUGAUGAAAUGAGCAGUCCCGGCCAACUCCGUGC